rnacentral:lncRNA from 1 species
AUUCUUUAUUGCUGUUUUUCACAAGCUUUCACCUCUUUCUGGUAAGUCGGAAAAAUCAUUCUGAUUAAAAGCUUUGGGCUUUCUUGAUCACUUCGUAAACCAAGAUCUGAUAUAUUUUGGUUUCGUUGCUGGUAGUCCCACCAUAACCAACUCUACUAAAAGGGAUGAUUCCGGAAAAACUGAUGUAAAACGGUUGCAAUCGGUUGUUGAAGGGGUAGAACUGAUGUAGCUGUGAUGGUGACUGCAAUUGACUGCCAGGAACUGUUAGAAAGGUUGGCUGCCAUUAAUAUAACAGAAACUGGCCUGGUGCACAAGAAUAAUUCCUCCCAUCUUGAGGCUGGCAGACGAAGUAGUGUACAAGAAUGUUUCUGAAAUUAAAGAAGAUAUUAAAGCAUUGACACCAGCAACUCUUGGUUGAACCA